UUAUAUUUGCUUUUAUUGCUAUAAAAUGUGCUUUAGAAAAUCAUGUGUUCAUAAUUGCAUGCAUAAUUUUGUAGGUGAACAUACAGAAAAUGCAAGAUAAAACAUACUUUUGAUUGUAUACCUCAACCUAACAUGAUCCUAAUAUAACAACUAUUACACUUUUAGAGAAGAUAAAGAUCCAGAAUUGUUCGUACCUAGAGGAACUCGCCUUCUUGAUGCUGUUGUGAUUUUCCUCCAGGUCUGCUGUUGUGAUGGCCGAAGGAAGAGCAAGGAGGGGGAGGAGGGAUGGCAGAGGAGGUUAACAUCUAUAGCUUUUAUUAUGAAGCUAAGCUUCUAGACACACAUCUGAUCUGGUAGUUAUUUGUAUGAGUUGACAAGACAUUCGACAUGAAGCUAUUAGAAUACACCCCGUUCGACUGUGUAAAUGUGUUCUUUGAUCAACCAAACCUUGGUGAAUGUACAAUCAGGGGGAGCCUUGACGCCUUCUCAUGUAAGAGUAAGAUCCACAAAAUUUUGAUAACUUGAGUCCAUUACAUCAUGACAAUAGGGUCAAGCUCCACUUUAAUUUGCAGGCAAAGCAUGCAGGAAAUGAUUGUUGGCUUUCAAUAAGCUUUGAAUAUGAGGUACAUACUUUCCAUCAGCCUAUGAUUUACGACAACUGCUUUUCUUUUAGCGCUGAUGUUGAUAAGUAGGCAUUGACGUGUUAGUUAUAUAUAGUUCGUAUUGCCAAAUAUGUAGUUCAUGACUUGUUCUCAUUGACGUGAUAUUUCGAGUUCUAGUUGACAUAUCUUGGAUACAGUUAUACGAAACGAGGAAUUAUAGGGUGCGUUGCAAAACAAAUGUUUAAUAUAUCCAAAACAACAAAACAACAAAAAGUAACAUGCAACAAACCUGCUCCUGACCGCACGGGUAUUAAAGUACAAAAUAUACAUAGAAGCCAAAAUAUAUAGAUAUAACCAAAACAAGCAGACAACGUUGAAGCGAAUACAAAACUAGAGGGUGCCAUCAAACCGUUUAUUCCCUACAUAUAUAUAAUCCAAUACAUUAUUCAUAUUGCCAAAAGGAUAAAUCUCAAUUUGAUCCCUAACAAAGUUCUAUUAGCUUAUUAUAUUUGCGACAUUUGAGUAUGCAUCAGUCCAUAGUCAUUCGUCCAAAAACCUCAAGGACGCUGUAAUUUCAGCUGGGAUGUUUCCAGCUGCUUCAUUGCCUUUGAUCAUCAGCAUCUGGACCAGCAAGUGCUUUCUGAGCUGUAUUGAAUCCUGAAAAACAUAAAUAAAAAUUUAAUAAAUCGCUGAAAAAUGAAUUGCACAACAGACCUAUGUGAUAGGAAGAACAUAAAUUUAUAAUUAACAAAGCUAUGGAAGACAGAAACUUGUUAUAUAUGCAUGUACCGAAGUCCUGGACAUGUUAUGCCCGAGAGUAUCAUCUUGGUGAGCCAUCUCCUGUAGGACUUUGAAUCCAGAGUCCAGGCUGUGACCAAAAAAAUCCAUAUGUUAGAACCUAUAUCAGUGUGGCUAUAAUAUGCAUGACCAAUUUAAACUAUUACCGCGGGGCUGUAAUAUAGGUAUGAUCUUGUGGCCAAUCCACGAGUUGGGGAUUCAAACCAGGCCUCCCCUGUUGCAAUACACUGCCAAAUUCUUGCAAAACUAUCAGGGCUUCCUUCUUAAGUUCCUUGUCAUGAAAGUCCUCUGAGCCUAGGAAUGACUCAUUGGAAUGAUCAAUCAGGAGAGUCCUCCUAUUUUCAAUAUUAACUGCAAGGAGGCCGUAGGAGGAAUCCACCAAAUACAACGGCAAUAGGUACUGCAAUAGGUAUACAAAGUUAAUGGUGAACAGGUAGUAUACACACCAAUUUUUUAGAAUGAAAAUCCUUACAAUGGACGGGGUCAUGAG